ensembl:lncRNA
GAGGAACCGUGCAGCCAUGGAGGGAAUUCAGAAGCAUCUCUGACUCUGGCAUUAACCGCUCAUCGGAGCGGAGAUGGAGUACAACACCACACGCACCAUUAACGUCACGUAGCUUCUGCAAGUUUGUGCACUAGCACUUGUGGAGAAAAACCCACAAAAGCCCACCCAACCACGCCUGAUAGGAAGGUGCUGGGAAAGAAAGUCCUCUUUACCUUUCAGACGGAAAGGCGAUGACUGUGUGGAAUUUGCCCCCUGCAGCUGCGGGGCCUUCUUCCACUUCGAUGUUUGUGCUGCGUGUCAGUGCGGGAGGGCUGCUGUGGCCUCGCCUCUGUGCCUGUGCCUCCUCCACGCUGAGCAGCAUGGUGGCAGGAGAAGACACCCGCACAGACUUGGGCCCUGAUGGAGAACUGCGCCCUGGGAGGGAAGACAAGACCACAGCUAAGAGGGAGGAUCAGAAAGCAGCAGCACAGCCACCACACUUCUGGGGGAGGUGCUGCCCGCUUCUCAGCCUUGCUUAUCCGAGCCACUGGAAGAAGAGGAGGUCCAAAGAACCGUGUGGUCAGAGGUACGUUCAUGGCAAAGAACACAGUCAUCAUUCACAGCAGCUCACUGUAUCGAAACAGGCAAACAAAAACCCGAGAAGAGGGGGGCAGGGAACUCAGAAAGCUUUGCUGCCACGCUUUCAUCAAGCUUCACCUGCAUGCAAAACAUCAUCGUGACAGGGACGGUUUUCUCCUUCUCAACUUUGGGCUUGGACACUCUCAGCAUCCAGCCACAGGGUGCCAUAUUCUAAUCUACGCCCACAAGCCUGCUGGCCCCUCGAUAGUAAAAGCAUCUUUCAGCCAUCUUGGAGAAGGCCUGCAUUUGAUCAAGGUGUCUGAUCAAGACAAAGCUAUUGCAGGAAGACGCUCACCUGCUCCAUCUCCGAUGCCUGAUGUGGAUGUGGAGCAGAAGAGGACGUCUGCGUGGUUGAUGAUGAAUUCUACCACGUCCGACUGCCUCUGCAGUUCCAUGCAGGCAGCUCUUCCGCUGGCGCAGGCAGACUCGUUCUGCUGGGAUCUGUAGAAAAGGCAGAUUGGAGAAGUCAUGGAUCCCAGAUCAUUUCCCCACGUCUGGAUUUUGCCAGCCACAAGCUGUCCAAUUGGGCUCUGGAGACUUCCGCAGUGGGCAAUCAGUGAUGCCACUGAAGAAAUUCUCCUGCAUGAUCAAGGACACACCAGCCCCGUCUAAACGAGAGAGCAGAAAUUGUCCUCCUCUAGAAACUGUGCCCGUGGGGAGAGCACAUCUAAGCCUUGUGCUGAAACAGAAAAAGAAGUUUACCUGAAGAGGUUGGGAGCCCACACAAUUGCUAAGUUCUUAGCGGGCAUCUUUGUGGCAGAGCAGCUCCCAGCGAGACAAGCCAAGUGCCUCACCAGGUACUCCAGUGUCCUGGAAAGCAAGAGGCAGACCUUCAGCACCAGUGAGCACGCCGUGCUGCAAUUCACAAAACAAACCUCAAGACACGCCAGUUCUUGCUCUUGCUACUGUCACGGAAUAGGAAGCAGAUCAAGCUUUCCCAG